rnacentral:lncRNA from 10 species
UGCUAUUAAAAAAAAAAAAGUCACUGCAGUGAAGUUUUCAAAUGUGUGGCCAAACGUAGAUCACUUUCUUAAAAAAAGAAAAAAAAAGUUGGCCAAGGGCUCCCCCACUGCUAUACAUUACAAAGAAAAAGGCUACAUAAAAGUGAGCAGGGCGAUGAGGUAUUUCUUUCAUUCACAAUAUAGACAUUAUGUUUAUUUUAUCAUAAAGCCAGAUUUUCACAUUCCUUUUGUCUCUCCCCUGGCAUUGAGAGUUGCUUUCUUGGUUGCUUCCUUAACGAUUUGUGUAAUUGGUUUCACUCACUGAGGCCCAAUUGGUGGGUUCAUUGUGAGUGUCUCAUGAAAUAUGAAUCUAUUUAAAAAUUAAUAGUAAAUCAAUAUUAAUUCAAUAAAAUAUUUUAAUCUGAGGUAUAAAUAUUUUAUACCUUCACACAGACAUGCAGAUUUCAAAAGCCGUUUUCAUGUUUCUGACAGGCUGUCCGGUUUUGCCACGACGACAUGGAAAUUAUUCCUCCUCGUACCGUGUGCCAGCUCUGGGCUCUCUCAGGAAGAGCUGCCCAGGUUCUUUCUUGCCUUGGAGACUCAAUGAUUUUAUGCCUAGUGGUUCAUAAGUCACAAAAUAUCUGGAAUUAGGUGGGAGACCAUGAUGAUGACAUUUGGAAGCAUCUCAGGAGACAAGAAUAAAACGCCAUUUUUUCCCCCACUUCGCUAACAACUCAGUGUUCUGAAAAGUCUGGAAUGUGCUAUGAAAAGUUUGUGUGCUUAGUGAAAUGUUGUACAAUUGGCCAAUCCACUAAGUCUUGGGAAAUGUCUUAGGAGCUUGGCAAGAGGAAGUUCUCAAGAGAGCCGGAAUGCUGCCAGUUUCCAAUUGGCCAAGACACAUUACAAGGACAACCGUCUCUCUGAGCAACCUGGCAUUUCCACUCCAAUUGGAAUCUGCAACAGGAAGAUGCACAGGGGAAGAGGAUUAAAUAAACCUUUUCAGAUUUCUGGUCCAGGUGAAUCUUUCAUUUAUCUAGUGUGCUUUACUCUUCCUUUGAUCACUGACCAUUUCCAAUAUUAGAGAACACUGGACACAUUGCAGAUUCAUUUUUAGAACUGAUCAACAGCCAAGGAAAAUGCAAGAUGAGUGAACUGAUCUAUCUUUAUACAUAAACACAAGGCAUUUAACCUGCCUGAAUAGUUCAAAUUGUUGCUAAUAAAAUUUUAGAUCUGCUGUGUGAGGCAACCUGCCUGUCACAUUGGCUGUUGCUCAAGUAGCUCCCACCCUCGAAGCGUGUUUAGGAAAUGUGACAGCUGUGCUCUUUGCCUGGCUGCUUCCAUUUAUGAAAACAUGGUGGUAAAUGGCAGUCACCCCCAUAGGCCAUUUACUGUGAAUCUUCUUUUCUAGGCACAGCCAAGAGUAAACGCCCCCAACAGAAUCGAAUCACAGUCAUUCAGGGCCUACCUCAAAUAGAUUUAAUUUGCUUUUUAUAAAAAA